GUGCGGUCUGAAAUAAUGUUAUGUCUAGUUUCUCCUCUUUAUAAUACUCUAGGCCUAAGUUCGAUCACAGGCUCUGGACAAUACUGUAACUGUAUAUAACAUUUUUAGGUUGUCACGUGCUUGUACGGUACGAAUCACGCAGCAAAGAAACCAGCAUUGUAUUCUACCUAAUAAGUCUUAAUAGCGCGCUUACUUUUAGUUACAAAUAUAAUGUAACAUUGGCACAAUCUGGAUUUGAAGUGACGACCCUCAAGAUUGAAUUAAAAGCUUCCUGGUAUAACUACAGUUAGUAAAAUAGUGUAAGUUUUUUUAAAAUUGAUGUAUUAGUUUCAG